AGGUAACACUAAUUUUCUAGAAAAACCUAUUUAUUAUGGCGGCAUUUUAUCUUCUUAGAGGAAUUUGCUAGAUAAUCGACAAUCCGCGUUAAUUUUCACUUUUUAUGAUAAUUUAUAUACCUCCAUCUAAAGAACCUAUUAUUAAAUAUUCUCCUAAUAAUAUAUAAAAAGUUAGGUCAAGGUGUAGUCUAUUUCCAAGACUUUAGUGAAUUACUUUAAAUAGAAUUUAAGGACUUAAAAAUUAAAAUCUUCUACAAAAAAGAAUUUAAAAGUAAUAAUUAAAUAUUAUUUUAUUAUGAAUAAGAAAACAAAUGUGC
rnacentral:rRNA from 1 species